GAUGAACGCUGGCGGCGUGCCUAAUACAUGCAAGUCGAGCGAACGGUCGAGAAGCUUGCUUUUAUGAUGUUAGCGGCGGACGGGAGCUUACCACAUGGAUAACCUACCUAUACGACUGGGAUACCUUUGGGAAACCAGAGCUACUACCGGAUAAUUUUUUGCACCGCAUUGUUCAAAAGUGGAAGACGGUCUUUCUGUCACUUAUAGCUGACUCCGCGCUGCAUUAGCUAGUUGGUAAGGUAGCGGCUUACCCAGGCAACGAGGCAAAGCCGACCUGAGCGGGUGAACGGCCACACGGGAUCUGAGACACGUCCCAGACACCGACGGGAGGCAGCAGUAGAGAAUCUUCCGCAAUGGGCGAAAGGCGGACGUAGCAACGCCGCGGGAGGGAUGAAGGUCUUCUGAUCGGAAAACGCUGAUAGUAUGGAAGAACAAAUGUGUAAGUAACUGGGCUCAUCAUGACGGUACCUAAUCAGAAAGCCACGGCUAACUACGUG
rnacentral:rRNA from 1 species